CAGGCGGAAGAUCAAGUCAGCGGUAAAAUUGAGAGGCUCAACCUCUUCGAGCCGUUGAAACUGGUUUUCUUGAGUGAGCGAGAAGUAUGCGGAAUGCGUGGUGUAGCGGUGAAAUGCAUAGAUAUCACGCAGAACUCCGAUUGCGAAGGCAGCAUACCGGCGCUCAACUGACGCUCAUGCACGAAAGUGUGGGUAUCGAACAGGAUUAGAUACCCUGGUAGUCCACACAGUAAACGAUGAAUACUAAUUGUUCGGGGAGAAUGAUCCCUGAGUGAUACAGCGAAAGCGUUAAGUAUUCCACCUGGGGAGUACGCCGGCAACGGUGAAACUCAAAGGAAUUGACGGGGGCCCGCACAAGCGGAGGAACAUGUGGUUUAAUUCGAUGAUACGCGAGGAACCUUACCCGGGCUCAAACGACACAGGAAUACUUUUGAAAGGAAGUAGCUCUACGGAGCCUGUGUCGAGGUGCUGCAUGGUUGUCGUCAGCUCGUGCCGUGAGGUGUCGGCUUAAGUGCCAUAACGAGCGCAACCCCCAUCGCCAGUUACCAGCAAGUCAAGUUGGGGACUCUGGCGAGACUGCCGGCGCAAGCUGUGAGGAAGGCGGGGAUGACGUCAAAUCAGCACGGCCCUUACGUCCGGGGCGACACACGUGUUACAAUGGCAGGUACAGAGAGAAGCAAUGCGGCGACGCAAAGCGGAACUUGAAAGCCUGUCUCAGUUCGGAUUGGAGUCUGCAACUCGACUCCAUGAAGCUGGAUUCGCUAGUAAUCGCGCAUCAGCCAUGGCGCGGUGAAUACGUUCCCGGGCCUUGUACACACCGCCCGUCAAGCCAUGGAAGCCGGGAGUGCCUGAAGUGUGCAACCGCAAGGAGCGCCCUAAGGUAAAACUGGUGACUGGGGCUAAGUCGUAACAAGGUAACCGUAA
rnacentral:rRNA from 1 species